UUCUUCGUAGUGAAUCACACGUCUCUCUCGAAACUUCUCUCCCUCUCCUUCAUGCUGACAUCGAUGCCUCGUUCCACCGUUGUCGAUCGUCAAGCCACUACGAUUCUUCCCACAUCGAUAGUCGAGCCUAGCCGUCGUCGGCUAUUCAUCGUGCGCCAGCCCAUCUGCAACUGUUGAGCUCUAGCCAUAGAUUUGUUGAGCCACGCACCGACCAACCGCAGCCCAGCCAUCAAGCACCAUACCGGUUGCUACUCCUUGUCCCGCUGCGUCACCCUCUGCUACCUCUAUCCUCGCUGAAUUUGGAAGUUGAGAUUGAAGAGUAGCGGUGCUGUUUAGUUGCUGCCCAGUGGAUUCAAUCGGGUUUUCGUCAAGAUUUUGGUAGCGGUCAAGGACCAAGCCAUCGUUGAGUUCCCCGUCAUUGAUUGUAAAUUGUCAUUCUUAUUUGCAAGUUGGCGUUGAGGUGGUCGAGUGUGCGUAUGUGAUUGAGUUGGAUGGACUAAAGGGACUUGAACCAUCUUUUGUGUAGGCAUUCAAGAUCACCAUAACUCACUCUGACUCAUUGUUGAAUUCUCUCAUCCGUGAAGUCAAUGGAGCUAGUCUUGAUGGAGAGGAGGUAGCCUUGGUCCAUACAAAUUGAGUGAGGUACUGUAUCAUUUGCAAUGAUUGAUAAACAUUUGUAGGCAAUUAAAGGAAGGCAUUGAAAGCGAACAGGCAUUUGUUGAAAUCCAGUUUUCGUUUGACUGCUAUAAGGCCUCCCAUAGUUCCCGCCAACUCUUGCAGAGGGGAUCUAUUUUCAAGCCAAACACCAUUGCUAAGGGAUCGUGUAGAUAGCCAGACGAUCGGAAUGAUUGAAGUCAUAUCGGGUUGAAAGCUAAGCAAUUGUGUAGAUAGCCAGGUGACUGUUGAAGGUUGAAGACUGAGAAGACGUUUAGGUUUUCUUAUUUAAGUCUUGUAUUACGCUAUUUUUUCAUGUACUGUUGUAGAAUGUAUAUGUAAACACAAAAUUAAGAUUUCAUUUUGUGUAUACAAAUGU